UACGUAGGGUGCAAGCGUUAAUCGGAAUUACUGGGCGUAAAGCGUGCGCAGGCGGCUAUGCAAGACAGAUGUGAAAUCCCCGGGCUUAACCUGGGAACUGCAUUUGCGACUGCAUGGCUAGAGUACGGUAGAGGGGGAUGGAAUUCCGCGUGUAGCAGUGAAAUGCGUAGAUAUGCGGAGGAACACCGAUGGCGAAGGCAAUCCCCUGGACCUGUACUGACGCUCAUGCACGAAGGCUAGGGGAGCGAACGGG
rnacentral:rRNA from 1 species